rnacentral:tRNA from 1 species
GAGUUUAGUUUACCGGUAGAACGUUUGGCUGUGGACCAAAAAAAAGGGGUUCGACUCCCCU